GACGAACGCUGGCGGCGUGCUUAACACAUGCAAGUCGAACGGAAAGGCCCUGCUUUUGUGGGGUGCUCGAGUGGCGAACGGGUGAGUAACACGUGAGUAACCUGCCCUUGACUUUGGGGUAACUUCAGGGAACUGGGGCUAAUACCGGAUAGGAGCUCCUGCUGCAUGGUGGGGGUUGGAGAGUUUCGGCGGUUGGGGCUGGACUCGCGGCUUAUCAGCUUGUUGGUGGGGUAGUGGCUUACCAAGGCUUUGACGGGUAGCCGGCCUGAGAGGGUGACCGGCCACAUUGGGACUGAGAGACGGCGCAGACGCCUAUGGGAGGCAGUAGUGGGGAAUAUUGCAGAAUGGGCGGAAGCCUGAUGUAGCAACGUCGCGUGCGGGAUGACGGCUUUCUGGUUGUAAACCGCUUUGGCCUGUGACGAAGCGUGAGUGACGGUAACGGGUAAAGAAGCACCGGCUAACUACGUG
rnacentral:rRNA from 1 species